rnacentral:rRNA from 1 species
CUGCGAAAGCCGGAUUAAUACCGCAUACGGUCUACGGAAGAAAGCGGGGGACCGAAAGGCCUCGCGCUAUAGGGGCGGCCGAUGGCAGAUUAGCUAGUUGGUGGGGUAAAGGCCUACCAAGGCGACGAUCUGUAGCUGGUCUGAGAGGACGACCAGCCACACUGGGACUGAGACACGGCCCAGACUCCUACGGGAGGCAGCAGUGGGGAAUUUUGGACAAUGGGGGAAACCCUGAUCCAGCAAUGCCGCGUGUGUGAAGAAGGCCUUCGGGUUGUAAAGCACUUUUGUCCGGAAAGAAAACUUCUGCCCUAAUACGGUGGGAGGAUGACGGUACCGGAAGAAUAAGCACCGGCUAACUACGUGCCAGCAGCCGCGGUAAUACGUAGGGUGUGAGCGUUAAUCGGAAUUACUGGGCGUAAAGCGUGCGCAGGCGGUUCGUUAAGACAGAUGUGAAAUCCCCGGGCUUAACCUGGGAACUGCAUUUGUGACUGGCGGGCUAGAGUAUGGCA